rfam:Phaseolus vulgaris cultivar G19833 chromosome 10, whole genome shotgun sequence.
UCUCAAGUUUUUUUCAAAACUACAACAUCUUGAAAAAAAUAUUAAGU